CUUAAAAUGUUCUCUGUGAAUAAAAUGCUCCUUCCUAAAAGCUGUUUCUGAUGAAUUCUCUACUUUUUUUUUUUUUUUUUUUUUUUUUUUUUUUUAAUUAGGAAUGGCUGGCCAGCACUACCCGGAAUGAAUGGAUCAUAGUGAUGAGUGCAACCCUUGAACAACUCUCAAGCUGUGCCCUUCUUGAGUCCCUCCUGCUGACCUUGGGCAGCCCUGUGCUUGCUAGUGAUUUCUUGGAUCCAAAACAAGAUCUGUGUAUUUAUUUCUUUGAAAACAUCAUUUGAAUAGUGGAGAGGCCACCUUAAAAAGCUCUUCUCUGAUAAUGAGAUUGAUGACUACCUUAUAUGCCAUCCUAGAGCUUUCAUCCAAUAGCUGAUGGAAGCAGAAGCAGACACCCACAACUAAACACUGGCUGAACCCUGGAACCCAGUUGCAGAGAGGGAAGAGUAAUGAGUAAAGGGGUCAAGACCAGGCUGGAGAAAGCCACAGAAACAGCUGACCUGAACAAGGGGUUGUUCAUGGACCCCAGACUGAUAGCUAGGAAACCAGCAUAGGGCUGUUCCAGACCCCCUGAACGAGGAUGUCAGUUUGGAGGUCUAGUUAAUCUAUGGGGCAGCAGUGGAACAGCAUUUAUCCCUAGUGUACUUAUGGACUUUGGGAGCCCAUUACACAUAGAGGGAUACUCUCUCAACCUAAACACAUGGGGGAGGGUCUAUGCCCUGCUCCAAAUGAUAUGACAAACUUUGAAGAUCCACCAUGGAAGGCCUCACCCUCCCUAGGGAGCAGAAAGGGG
rnacentral:lncRNA from 1 species